UACGGAGGGUGCAAGCGUUGUUCGGAAUUACUGGGCGUAAAGCGCGUGUAGGCGGCCUUGCAAGCCAGACGUGAAAGCCCUCGGCUUAACCGGGGAAGUGCGUCUGGAACUGCUCGGCUCGAGUACGGGAGAGGGAGGCGGAAUUCCCAGUGUAGAGGUGAAAUUCGUAGAUAUUGGGAGGAACACCGGUGGCGAAAGCGGCCUCCUGGACCGAUACUGACGCUGAGACGCGAAAGCGUGGGGAGCAAACAGG
rnacentral:rRNA from 1 species